rnacentral:rRNA from 1 species
AAUCUUCCACAAUGGGCGAAAGCCUGCUGGAGCAACGCCGCGUGAGUGAAGAAGGUUUUCGGAUCGUCCAACUCUGUUGUAAGGGACGAACAAGUACAGUAGUAACUGGCUGUACCUUGACGGUACCUUAUUAGAAAGCCGCGGCUAACUACGUGCCAGCAGCCGCUGUAAUAAGUAGGUGGCAAGCGUUGUCCGGGAUUAUUGGGCGUAAAGCGCGCGCAGGCGGUCCUUUAAGUCUGAUGUGAAAGCCCACGGCUCAACCGUGGAGGGUCAUUGGAAACAGGGGGACUUGAGUGCAGAAGAGGAAAGUGGAAUUCCAAGUGUAGCGGUGAAAUGCGUAGAGAUUUGGAGGAACACCAGUGGCGAAGGCGACUUUCUGGUCUGUAACUGACGCUGAGGCGCGAAAGCGUGGGGAGCAAACA